CCUACGGUGGGCAGCAGUGGGGAAUCUUGCACAAUGGGGGAAACCCUGAUGCAGCAACGCCGCGUGAGUGAAGAAGUAAUUCGUUACGUAAAGCUCUAUCAGCAGGGAAGAAAAUGACGGUACCUGACUAAGAAGCCCCGGCUAACUACGUGCCAGCAGCCGCGGUCAUACGUAGGGGGCAAGCGUUAUCCGGAUUUACUGGGUGUAAAGGGAGCGUAGACGGUGCGCCAAGUCUGGAGUGAAAUGCAGCAGCUUAACUGCGGAACUGCUUUGGAAACUGGCGAACUAGAGUGCGGGAGGGGUAAGCGGAAGUCCUGGUGUAGCGGUGAAAUGCGUAGAUAUUAGGAGGAACACCGGUGGCGAAGGCGGCUUACUGGACCGUAACUGACGUUGAGGCUCGAAAGCGUGGGGGGCAAACAGGAUUAGAUACCCUUGUAGUC
rnacentral:rRNA from 1 species